GUUUAUAAAGUUUAUAUAUAACAUUUCAUUUUCAAUGAAAAAAAAAGAAAUUAUUCUUUAUAAAUA
rnacentral:tRNA from 1 species